AGCGUUGUCCGGAAUUAUUGGGCGUAAAGGGCGCGUAGGCGGAUAUUUAAGUCCGGUGUGAAAGAUCAGGGCUCAACCCUGAGAGUGCAUCGGAAACUGGAUGUCUUGAGGACAGGAGAGGAAAGUGGAAUUCCUAGUGUAGCGGUGAAAUGCGUAGAUAUUAGGAGGAACACCAGUGGCGAAGGCGACUUUCUGGACUGUAACUGACGCUGAGGCGCGAAAGCGUGGGGAGCAAACAGGAUUAGAUACCCUGGUAGUCCACGCCGUAAACGAUGAGUGCUAGGUGUAGAGGGUAUCGACCCCUUCUGUGCCGCAGUUAACACAAUAACCACUCCGCCUGGGGAGUACGGCCG
rnacentral:rRNA from 1 species